CAGUCGCCGCGGGAAUACGGAGGGUGCAAGCGUUAAUCGGAAUUACUGGGCGUAAAGCGCACGCAGGCGGUUUGUUAAGUCAGAUGUGAAAUCCCCGAGCUUAACUUGGGAACUGCAUCUGAAACUGGCAAGCUAGAGUCUUGUAGAGGGGGGUAGAAUUCCAGGUGUAGCGGUGAAAUGCGUAGAGAUCUGGAGGAAUACCGGUGGCGAAGGCGGCCCCCUGGACAAAGACUGACGCUCAGGUGCGAAAGCGUGGGGAGCAAACAGGAUUAGAUACCCCAGUAGUCCCUGUCUCUUAUAC
rnacentral:rRNA from 1 species